AGUGAACGCUGGCGGUAGGCCUAACACAUGCAAGUCGAACGGCAGCACAGUAAGAGCUUGCUCUUACGGGUGGCGAGUGGCGGACGGGUGAGGAAUACAUCGGAAUCUACUUUUUCGUGGGGGAUAACGUAGGGAAACUUACGCUAAUACCGCAUACGACCUACGGGUGAAAGCAGGGGAUCUUCGGACCUUGCGCGAUUGAAUGAGCCGAUGUCGGAUUAGCUAGUUGGCGGGGUAAAGGCCCACCAAGGCGACGAUCCGUAGCUGGUCUGAGAGGAUGAUCAGCCACACUGGAACUGAGACACGGUCCAGACUCCUACGGGAGGCAGCAGUGGGGAAUCUUGGACAAUGGGCGAAAGCCUGAUCCAGCCAUACCGCGUGGGUGAAGAAGGCCUUCGGGUUGUAAAGCCCUUUUAUUGGGAAAGAAAAGCAGCAGAUGAAUACCCCGCUGUUCUGACGGUACCCAAAGAGAAAGCACCGGCUAACUUCGUG
rnacentral:rRNA from 1 species